rnacentral:rRNA from 1 species
UACGAAGGGGGCUAGCGUUGUUCGGAUUUACUGGGCGUAAAGCGCACGUAGGCGGAUCGUUAAGUCGGGGGUGAAAUCCUGGAGCUCAACUCCAGAACUGCCUUCGAUACUGGCGAUCUUGAGUCCGGAAGAGGUGAGUGGAACUCCUAGUGUAGAGGUGGAAUUCGUAGAUAUUAGGAAGAACACCAGUGGCGAAGGCGGACUCACUGGUCCGGUACUGGACGCUGAGGUGCGAAAGCUAGGGGAGCAACGGGG